UUAAACGGCCGCGGUAUCCUAACCGUGCAAAGGUAGCAUAAUCACUUGUCCCCUAAAUAGGGACUAGAAUGAACGGCUACAUGAGGACUAACCUGUCUCUUGCAUUCAAUCAAUGAAAUUGAUCUCUCAGUCCAAAAGCUGAGAUAACCCCAUAAGACGAGAAGACCCUGUGGAGCUUAUUAAACUAAGCCCACCGACAUGAACGCCUAGUUUUCAGUUGGGGCGACUUCGGAGCACAAAAAACCCUCCAAAUUAAUCCAACCAGAUUAACACAUCGACACCUCCUUGACCCAGUAGUUUUUAACCCUCCUACCUGAUCAAUGAAACAAGUUACCCCAGGGAUAACAGCGCCAUCCCCUUCAAGAGUCCCCAUCGACAAGGGGGUUUACGACCUCGAUGUUGGAUCAGGACACCCAAAUAGUGCAUCCGCUAUUAACGGUUCGUUUGUUCAACGAUUAA
rnacentral:rRNA from 1 species